rnacentral:tRNA from 1 species
GGAGUUGGUGGCUCAGUGGUAGAGUGCAUGUUUGUAUGUAUGAUGUCCUGGGUUAAAACCCAGCUUCACCCCA